UACGAAGGAUCCUAGCGUUGUCCGGAUUUACUGGGUUUAAAGGGUGCGUAGGCGGCCUUUUAAGUCAGUGGUGAAAGCCUGCAGCUUAACUGUAGAAUUGCCAUUGAAACUGAUUGUCUCGAGUGCGGUUGAGGUCACUGGAAUGUAUCAUGUAGCGGUGAAAUGCUUAGAUAUGAUACAGAACACCAAUGGCGAAGACAGGUGACUAAACCGUAACUGACGCUGAGGCUCGAAAGCGUGGGGAUCAAACAGG
rnacentral:rRNA from 1 species